GCUCCAGUGGCCUAGUGGUUAGAGCAUCCGCCUCAGAUGUGGGAGGUCGUGGGUUCAAUCCACGGUUGAGUCA